rnacentral:rRNA from 1 species
UCCGGUGGUCAUAGCGGAGGGGUCACACCCGGUUCCAUGCCGAACCCGGCAGUUAAGCCCUCCAGCGCCGAUGGUACUGCGGAGGCUAUCCGUGGGAGAGUAGGACGCUGCCGGAAGUCCUUUUUUUAUUGGAUUACAGAUGAAACAGAGCAUUGCGAAGCGGAGAGUUUCCGGCCACAGCCGGAGAUUCUCCGCUUUUUUCGUGCUCU